GAAACUGUAUGGAACUACUCUUGUAACAGGGUUUGCUAGAAUUUAUGGGCAACCUGUUGGCAUUCUUGCAAACAAUGGGAUAUUGUUUAAUGAAUCUGCUCUAAAGGGGGCCCAUUUUAUUGAACUAUGUACUCAACGUAACAUUCCUUUGGUUUUCCUUCAGAACAUUACUGGAUUCAUGGUUGGUUCAAGGUCUGAGGCAAAUGGUAUAGCAAAAUCUGGUGCAAAAAUGGUGAUGGCUGUUUCUUGUGCAAAGGUCCCCAAGGUAACUAUCAUUGUUGGUGGAAGCUUUGGUGCUGGAAAUUAUGCAAUGUGUGGUCGUGCAUAUAGUCCUGAUUUCUUGUUUCUUUGGCCAAAUGCUAGAAUAUCUGUGAUGGGUGGUGCUCAGGCUGCUGGUGUACUGUCUCAAAUAGAAAAGGCAAACAAGAAAAAGCAAGGAAUUCAGUGGACG
rnacentral:misc_RNA from 1 species